UGUGUACAAAUCAGUUUGAAUUCCUCUAACAAAGUGCAAAUUGUAUUAGUCCCCACAGAAGCUGGUAAUAGGUUUGUGUCUUCCUUCACUGAAGGUCUGACCUCAUUUCCCUAGGGUAAUCUUGAGGAAAAACUCUUCCUACUAUUUGUAUUACAACAGCACGUAAGGCCAGAAUCCCCAUUGUGCUCAGGGCUGUAUGUUCAUAUGGUAACAGCCCACACUCUACAGACCUUAUAUUCAAACUGAGAAAAGAUGGGAGAAAGGAAGCAUUAACCCUAUUUCAAAGGUAAAAAACCAAGGCACAGAGAAGCAGCAUCUUGCUGGUAUCAAGCCUAUGAAGCAAUGUAAUUCUUUUCAGAAGGCUGUCACCUCAGAUUGACUUUCUGUCACAAGCUGAAUUCUCACCUCUUUUGUCUGGACAACAACCUUUCCCGUUUUGGUGAGUGACAGAUCAGCCAGGUGGCAAUGAAUGGAGCUCACCUCUUAUGGGGUACUUCGAGAGAGCAGUGUUAGGGCAAGUCAGGGUUUGCAGAGGAAGAAAUGAUGUGGCUUUGGGUAGAGUAGGUGACCACUGGUCCUGUUCUUCAUCUCAUGCUCUUUUGGAGACCUGGACACAUUCUGUGCUCUGAUUUCUGCUAUGAGAGGAGAGAAAGCAAGAGAAUCCAAGAAUUGGUGAAGUUGGCUUUGUAAACCUUCAUGCAUAAAUAUCUGGGGAAAUGUGGAAGUAUCUCCAACAGCUCUUCUAGUAUUUGCCAUGUUCUUUUUUUGGCUGAUAUAACUGUUAAUUUUUUGUUACUGCAUCUGUAGCUUGAAUAGAGCAGUUGUUUCACCACUGGUAUAUUGGAAUUUUUCAUUUUUGGACUAAUGAAAUGGUCUAAAACUUGAUUCCAUUUUUUUCUCCCCUGAUGUUAGAAAUCAGUUUAAAUUGUGCCUUUCCUGAAGAAAAAAUAGAGUGGAAAAAACGCAUGUCACAAAAUUCCCUGCCAGUGCCAAUGGUAGUCUGGUGAUCCUGUUCACAUUCUGUAUUUAGCUAUAAAAUAUGGCUCUGUGGAAAGCUGUAUGUUUCACAAGCACUGCUGAUAUUUCAUGGAGGAGAUUGAAGUCAAUGGUUAGCCUCCUGUCCAGCUGGUCCUCAGGUGCGUUGCUACUAAGCCACUUCUAAUGCCAAUACCCAGGUGGGUCAACAGAUUUUCUGGGUGAAGAUACCACCAUUUCCAGUUCUCCUGCUCUCCCUAAAGACCUCAGGCACUUGCCAUAUGGAAGUUCAAGCAGCAAGGGGAGCCUCUGAUCCCUAGAGGCACCUCCCAGUGGUUUCAGCACCCAGGAGGCAAGCUAAGGAGAGGCAGGUUGUACUGAUUUUCAAGGAUCGGAGAUUUGAUGAAGAGGAUUCAUUUCAAGAAAUAAACCUUUUAAAUUAACCGCAAGAUGAGGGAAAUUUCUUUAUUUAAAAAAUGCUCCAGCCCCUUCUUUGUUUCUUUUAUUAUUAUUAAUAUUAUUUUCCAUCCGGCUCUGGGUCAUUAAGGAGGGUCCAGAAGUCACAGAUUGCCUUUCUGAAGGAGGAGAGCUGAGAACUUCGAAUGUCACACAUUUUGUCUGGCUCCAAACCCUUCAUUUAUUGCAACACAAUUUGUUACCUGUGGUUGGCUCUGCACACCAUUGUGUGCUGUGCGCCAGGACUGAUUUAGCAGGGAAUGUCCUCUCCACCUUGAACUUGAGAGGGGGAAAAUCUCUUGAGAGAGGUGAUAGAAGAAUCAUGAAAAUCAGUCUUCCAGCUACUUAAGAAGAGAAAUGCCCUUUGAGGUCUGGGUAAAGUCCCCUCAAGCUUUGACAGGGUAUGGAGUUCAGGAAACCCUGGUUAUAACAAAGGCAGAUGGUUCUGUGAGGGCACAUAUAAGAUGCAGGGGUAAAGAAAUGGAAAAAAAGAAAUCCUGGAACCAACACGUGUCCUGAUGUGCCAUCCUGCCAUAGAAGUGUGCAGAUUGCAGUGGACAAUCGCCAGGGCUGGAGGCAAAGGACGGGUCAAGAUGAUUAAAGGACUAGUGCCAUGUUACCCUCGUCUUCCUUGGCAAGGCUGCAAAGGACCAUCUUUGAGGAUGGUAGUUUCUUUCUGAACCAUUUGGGAAUAGUUUGCUCCCCUCCAGUUCUUCCUGGCCACAGCUUCCUUGUAACUCCCUGCAAAAGCUCCUGCAACCUAAUUGCAAAUGUAGCCUCCCAGUUCCCCAGCAUUCUGCCUGGCUGCAGCAUGGAGAGAGGCAAAAUAAGAUUGCUGGGGCAAGCGUCUGCUGUCUUCCAUAAGAAAACUUUUCUUCUUUAGAUAGGUUCAUUUCAAACCCCAAAUGGUUGAGCCUCUUUCCUAUUUGAACAAGAGCCAGUCCCUCAGAAACACAACUGCUCACCUAACCAUAGGUGACGACCUUAGUUGUGUAGGAUGAACCUGCACCAGAGGCUUUUCACAGGUGAUGUCUGGGAAUGGACAGCUUUUGGGCCCUGGAGCCAUCUGCAUCCCUCGAUCCCAGUGAGGCUUCCUGAUCCAAACCCUAGUGUGGGCCCUCCUUGAAGCCAUCCUCUUUGCAGGAAGAACCUGGCUACUGGUGAGACUACAGCCAGUGCACCACUGUCCUCGGAUGAGAAAUGCAGCGUUUGCCCUACUGGAGAGUCCCAGAACAGGGCAGGUGGACAGCAGCAAUUGCCUGAGCUAGAGGGGAGCCAAGACACCAGAGUUAACAGCCCUCAUCUUGGGAAGAAAAAAAGACACAGGAUCUUUAAUGACCAAAAUGGCUGAGACCUUUGUUUUGUAUCUCUUCUGAAAAGCAAUCACACACAUUUUAGCAGGGGAGCUUUUAUUCUUAUGCGGAUGGGGUAGCCAGCGCAGUGUCCUCUCCCAAGCGCAUCCGGACCUGGUCAGUCCAAGUGCACAGAAGAGCAACAUGAAACAUGUUUGACCUUCACAACUUUCCUUUACAGACCAGCAGGAUAAAACCCUGAAGGAAUUCUCCGGAGUGAGUUUGUCCAAAGCAACGUUCACCACCUCAUUCAAUAUUUGCCUGCAAAAAAAACGCCAAUUAUUGAAAGACAGUCCUGGCUGGGCAUCAAUAGGCAGCCAGGUGUGAGAAGUUGAAGAGAAAUGCAUCUCAUUAAUGUGGAAUUGUUUUUAGGUUAAUAAUCUUGCGUUAAUUUUCCUUUAAAAUAUUGUCUUUGACCGUUAAGCGCUUGCACUGUUAUAAAAAGAACGUAAUAAAUGAUCUUGAAGCAAA